AACCAUAGACACUGUUGGUGACGAAUAAUUCUAACCUCAACCCAAUAUUUGCUUAAACGUGUUGUUAAAAUGAAAGUGAAAGUUUUAAGCAGAAAUCCUGACGAUUAUCUCCGUGAAACAAAACGAGACAUUCAUAAAACUCCUAGAAAUUAUGAUCCCAAUUUACAUCCGUUCGAGUCUGCCAGAGAAUAUGUUAGAGCUUUAAACGCUGUUAAACUAGAGCGAGUAUUUGCAAAACCAUUUGUAGGAAGCCUAGAUGGUCAUCGUGAUGGCAUUUCAUGUUUAAGUAAACACCCAAAGCAA